UACGUAGGGACCAAGCGUUGUUCGGAUUUACUGGGCGUAAAGGGCGCGUAGGCGGCGUGACAAGUCACUUGUGAAAUCUCUGGGCUUAACCCAGAACGGCCAAGUGAAACUGUUGUGCUAGAGUGCAGAAGGGGCAAUCGGAAUUCUCGGUGUAGCGGUGAAAUGCGUAGAUAUCGAGAGGAACACCAGAGGUGAAGACGGGUGCUGGGCUGACACUGACGCUGAUGCGCGAAAGCCAG
rnacentral:rRNA from 1 species